rnacentral:tRNA from 1 species
GGGCUGGUAGCUCAGUUGGUAGAGCACGGCAUUGAAAAUGCCGGUGUCCCCGGUUCAAGUCCGGGUCAGCCCA